CAGUCGCCGCGGGAAUACAGAGGAUGCAAGCGUUAUUCGGAAUGAUUGGGCGUAAAGCGUCUGUAGGUGGCUUUUCAAGUCCACCGUCAAAUCCCCGGGCUCAACCCUGGACAAGCAGUGGAAACUACCAAGCUGGAGUACGGUAGGGGUAGAGGGAAUUUCCGGUGGAGCGGUGAAAUGCGUUGAGAUCGGAAAGAACACCAACGACGAAAGCACUCUGCUGGGCCGACACUGAUACUGAGAGACGAAAGCUAGGGGAGCAAAUGGGAUUAGAUACCCCCGUAGUCCCUGUCUCUUAUAC
rnacentral:rRNA from 1 species